UACAGAGACUGCAAGCGUUAAUCGGAAUUACUGGGCGUAAAGCGUGCGCAGGCGGUUGUGCAAGACAGAUGUGAAAUCCCCGGGCUUAACCUGGGAAUUGCAUUUGUGACUGUACGGCUAGAGUGUGUCAGAGGGGGGUAGAAUUCCACGUGUAGCAGUGAAAUGCGUAGAGAUGUGGAGGAAUACCGAUGGCGAAGGCAGCCCCCUGGGAUAACACUGACGCUCAUGCACGAAAGCGUGGGGAGCAAACAGG
rnacentral:rRNA from 1 species